CUUCAAAUUUCCUGUGACUGGCUGUGGGACACGUGUCUUUACUGUGGCGGAGACUACAAUCUAUCUUGCUGAAGUUCGUGGUUUGGUUCGGGGGAUCCAGCAGAUGUAUGGACAAAUUACCAGAGAUGGCCCUUAUCGUUUCCAUGUGGAAUGUCGCUAUUCUAAAGGAAACUUGGCCAGCAUGGGUUACUUGGUGGUGAACCCAUCGCCUCCAUCAGCAGCCUUGGCUUUUGGCUGGCUUGGGGUUAGGUUAAGGAUUG